CAAUAGCGUAUAUUAAAGUUGUUGCAGUUAAAAAGCUCGUAGUUGGAUUUGUGGCGUACGGUGUGUUCCGGGCACUUGUUGUCUGAGUAACCUGCUGUUGCCAUCCUUGGGUGGAACCUGUGUGGCAUUAGGUUGUCGUGCAGGGGAUGCCCAUCAUUUACUGUGAAAAAAUUAGAGUGUUCAAAGCAGGCUUAUGCCGUUUAAUAUAUUAGCAUGGAAUAAUGAGAUAGGACUUUUUUGCUAUUUUGUUGGUUUGCGCAAAGAGGUAAUGAUUAAUAGGGACAGUUGGGGGUAUUCGUAUUCCAUUGUCAGAGGUGAAAUUCUUGGAUUUUUGGAAGACGAACUACUGCGAAAGCAUUUACCAAGGAUGUUUUCAUUAA
rnacentral:rRNA from 1 species